GACGAACGCUGGCGGCGUGCCUAAUACAUGCAAGUCGAGCGAGCUUGCCUAGAUGAAUUUGGUGCUUGCACCAAAUGAAACUAGAUACAAGCGAGCGGCGGACGGGUGAGUAACACGUGGGUAACCUGCCCAAGAGACUGGGAUAACACCUGGAAACAGAUGCUAAUACCGGAUAACAACACUAGACGCAUGUCUAGAGUUUAAAAGAUGGUUCUGCUAUCACUCUUGGAUGGACCUGCGGUGCAUUAGCUAGUUGGUAAGGUAACGGCUUACCAAGGCAAUGAUGCAUAGCCGAGUUGAGAGACUGAUCGGCCACAUUGGGACUGAGACACGGCCCAAACUCCUACGGGAGGCAGCAGUAGGGAAUCUUCCACAAUGGACGCAAGUCUGAUGGAGCAACGCCGCGUGAGUGAAGAAGGGUUUCGGCUCGUAAAGCUCUGUUGGUAGUGAAGAAAGAUAGAGGUAGUAACUGGCCUUUAUUUGACGGUAAUUACUUAGAAAGUCACGGCUAACUACGUGCCAGCAGCCGCGGUAAUACGUAGGUGGCAAGCGUUGUCCGGAUUUAUUGGGCGUAAAGCGAGUGCAGGCGGUUCAAUAAAUCUGAUGUGUAAGCCUUCGGCUCAACUGGAGAAUUGCAUUCAGAAAAUUGUUGAACUAAGUGUAGAAGAGG
rnacentral:rRNA from 1 species